rnacentral:sRNA from 1 species
CUAGCAAGGAGGCCGGUGCAGCUGGAGUGUGGAAAUGGCGGAAGUUGGAGGUAGACAAAUUAUGUGAGGCCACAGUAAGGUUUUGGGACUUUAUUCUGAGGAUGACGAGAAACCAGUUGAGGAUUUUGAGCAGAAAUGUGAAGUAACCCCCGCCCCCCGGCCUGGUGUUUUAAAAGAACUACUCUGGCUGCUUUGUAGAGAACUGCGUGGUUUGAAAGGAGCACCCAAGGUGAGCAAAAAGAUCUGCACUUUAUGCUACUCUCACUUAACUCACUCUAGGGCUGUGUGCCUCAAUUCUUUGCCUAUAAAAUGGAGGUGAGAGUGGCCGGGCAUGUUGGCUCACGCCUGUAAUCCCAACAAUUUGGGAGGCCGAGGCAGGCAGAUCACCUGAGGUCAGGAGUUCGAGACCAGUCUGACCAAUAUGAUGAAACCCCAUCUCUACUAAAAAUACAAAAAUUAGCCGGGCGUGGUGGCAUGUGCCUGUAAUCCCAGCUACUUGGGCGGCUGAGACAGGAGAGUCGCUUGAACCUGGGAGGCGGAGGUUUCAGUGAGCUGAGAUUGUACCAUUGCACUCCAGCCUGGGCAACAAGAGCGAAACUCCGUCUGGAAAAAAAAAAAAAAAUGGAGGUGUUCCCUUCCCGAAGAACUUCCUUCAGAUCUGCAAGAAGAUCCUGUGCCGCCUUUUCCGGGUCUUUGUCCACGUCUAUAUCCACCACUUCGACCGGGUCAUUGUGAUGGGUGCAGAGGCCCAUGUCAACACCUGCUACAAACACUUCUAUUACUUUGUCACAGAGAUGAACCUCAUAGACCGCAAGGAGCUAGAGCCUUUGGUAAGUGGCA